GUUAGAUAUCAUUUUCCUCUCUCUUUUAGCUUUUUCCCAUAUUUUUUAUCUGGCUUGAGAUUAUCUUUAAAGCUAUUUCUUAAUGAGUAUUUGGAGGAAACCCAACAUAGAAUAUGUCUCUUUAAAACUUAUCUAGGGAUUUUUAUCUCCAGAGAUCUGUAUCACAUCUUACUGUCCCACUAGACCACCCACCCUCUUCUCUGUUCCAUCCAUCCUAAUAUUGUUUUGUUAUCUCUAUGUAGAAAAAAAUAUAAAAAGGAAGUUCAAAUAUUUUACCCUGUUAGUACAUUUUACCCUAUUUUGUUUUGCUCUUCCUUUUUCAAGUUGACCACCAAGUUUUUCUCCUAAACUUAGGUUAUCAGUCUUUACAAUUGUAAAGAUCUAUAUAGACUGUGCACGUUUAUUUAAAUAUGAAAGAAAAGGAAAGAGUAAAAUUCAAAUCUGAAUUCUCCUAAAGAGGAAAACCUACAUAACUAAAUCUAGGACAUAAAUUGCUGACUGUUUUUUGUUUGUUUAUUUGUUUUAUAAGUUAGUGUUAAUCUUUGAGUGAUUUAAUGAUAGUCAAAUAAUAUCUGAAUUUUAUAGAUUUUAAAAUUUAAUAGUUGGAGUGUCAUUUUGUUUGUACCACAAUCAAACAAGGUUUCUUGCCAAAGGUUACCAUCAGAACCCUAGUUUAUUAGGCACUAGUCAUGCCAAAUGGAUAGUUCAGAAUGAUUUAAUCUUUUUGAAGAUACAAUGGCCAACUGUGUGUGAAUAAUGGAAAGUUUGAGAUUCUUCUGUAUUCUUUAAUUUUUAUAGUCCUGAGACUAGCAGGGCUCUCUAGAGGUCAUCUGGCUCAUCCAUCUACCUCCAGGGAGGACUGUCACUCAGGCAUGCCCAACAGGAUAGAUAACCAUCUAUUCUUACCAUCUCUAGGGGAGGAAAGUUUCCUUGGCAACACAAUCCAGCUCUUUUAGGGUUUCUCACAAUAAGAAAAUAUCUUGGCCACUUUUAGUGGCCUAGGCACCUGGCAACAGUUGUGCUAAUUUGGACCAUUGUACUGGGAGACUCCAGAGAAGUUAGGUUUCUCCUUACAUCUGACUGUUAUUACAUAUGGCUAUAAGUUUCCUAAGAAAUCAAAUUUUCAAAGAAAGAUAUAACUAUUCAAACAGUUCCCAGUUAAUGUAACCUGCUUUUGGCAAAUGUUGCUAUAGAUGGUUUUUAUUCGCGUCUUUAUUUAUUUAUUUUUGUUGCUGUUAGACCAGGAAUUAAUAUCAGGAAAAGUGACUGUUUCAGAUCCCCAGUGACAAACACCAGAACUAGAAUCAAGUGACUCAACUUCAACAGUGUUCAACUUUUUGAGAAGUUACAAUUACAAAAAAAGUUGACUCCAACUCAGAGGCCAAGCUGAAUGGACGAGGAGUACCCCCCAAAUCAACAUUUCCUUUCUCCAUGGGAUUUGUUUCAAUCUAGGAACAGCUGCUUAUCUCCCCAACUCGGAUGCUCUUGUGAAAUGACAGCCACAGCAGUGUGGUUGCUUCCCACAGAUAACACUUUGGGGAAAUGGCCCUUGUUGUCUUUAAAAAGUGCUGCAGAACGCUCAUGUAAAGAAUGGUGAAUAAAAUUUGGCCCAUGUUUUAAUUGACUCUAGCCACCACUAUGAAAAUAAGUCUGAGGCGUAGUUUGUGAAACAUGUUUCAAAAGUGUUUGAUGUAUAAUAAAUGCUAGACAUUUACAGUGCAGAAAUUGUAAAAACAAAAAAAUUAAAC
rnacentral:lncRNA from 1 species